AUGCUUACAGCUCUGCAGAGGGCUCUAACCCUGGUGCCCAGCUGUUCCCUCUUAGUGAUCGGCACUGAGCACAGAAGGUUCACCAUGGAGCUGGCGCUGAGCUGGGUUUUGCUUCUUGCUACUUUAAAGGGUGUCCUGUGUGAGGAGCAACUGGUAGAGUCCGGAGGAGGCUUGGUGCAGCCUGGAGGAUCCCUGAGACUCUCCUGCGUAGCCUCGGGAUUCACCUUCAGUAGCUAUGAGAUGAACUGGAUCCGCCAGUCUCCGGGGAAGGGGCUGGAGUGGAUCUCAUACAUCAGUAGUGGUAGUGGUAGCAUAUACUACGCAGACUCCGUGAAGGGCCGAUUCACCAUCUCCAGGGACAACAGCAAGAACACGCUGUAUCCGCAGAUGAGCAGCCUGAGAGCCGAGGACACGGCUGUGUAUUACUGUGCUGGAGAGAGACACAGUGUGGAAACAUCAGUGUGAGCCCAGACAAAAACUUCCGUGCAGGGGUGCUUAGGACCAGCAGGGGGCGAGCGAGACAAGCGGAACACAGAGUAUGUCCCAAGAGUACAGGCAUUAAAGCAUUUUGUUUCAUAUGGGCUUCAUGACAUUUAAAAAAGUAAUUAUACAAGUAAUAGAUCAGAGAAACAAAGAAUUAAAAUCUGAACUAUGUAAAAUGUCAUAUAAAAACCCAAAUAAUUCAUU